GGCAAGAUGGCCGAGUUGGUUAUGGCGUGAGGUUAAGGUCACCUUAGCAAGAUAAUUUCCUCAUGGAGCAAUCCGCGUGGGUUCAAGUCCCACUCUUGUCA
rnacentral:tRNA from 1 species